AUAUUAGCCUCAAUCAGCCUAACUCCCAACUCAGUAAAAUCAAUCCCACAAAAUCACGUUCGCUCCCACGACGAAGGUCGCUACAUCGCCCCAACUCGAUUUCUCCAUCGCCCCGACUCGAUUUCUCCAUUGCGCUGGAAAUCAAUUGCUUGUUGCCUCCAUCUCGACUUCUCCAUCUUAAUUUCUCAGUAAAAAGGUUGGUGUCAUCUCGAUAAGUUGCUGCAAAUAUUCAUCUCGAUAUGUUGGAUUUUGAUUUGGUGGGUUUCAAUUUGUUGGGUUUGAAAGCUUAAAUUUGUUGGGUUUGAGAGCUUCAAUCUGCUGGGUUCAAUUUGUUAGGUCUGAGAGCUUCAAUUUGCUGGCUUCAAUUUGUCAGGUUCAUCAAAAUUAGGGGAUUUUGAAAUUAGGCGAAAAAGCUGAAUAAAAAUCUUGCCUGGUCUCCGAAUCAGAAGUCAAGAGAAGCGUUAGCUUUAGUUCUGUUCUGUAUUUAGAUGAGGUGCAGUUUUACAUUCCUGUCAGAAGAACUAAUGAACACAAUAAUCUAGCUUUUGCUGCCAACAGUGUAUCUGUACCUCUUCACCUGGUUUGCACUAUUACUUCUCUCUCUUUUGUUUUCUUAAUAUAUAUGAAAUUUCCUAGCUGUUUGACUCAGUACUCUCACACGUGAUAACUAAGGGAUAUUGUGAAUAGCAUGCACAUGAAAAUAGUGUAUAGAUUGAGCACAUUUUUGUUGCCCUGUAUUGAGUCUACAUUUGUGUCAUAUAUAGAGAUUAGCGAUUCUUAGUAGUUUAAUUAAGUACAUUUUUUUGUAUUAUACUUUUAUUUUGAUAUAUUAGUGGACAUGUGUUUAUAUGAAAUUCUAGUUUUAUAGUCUAACUAUGAUAAAUUUUGUUCUGUUUUAUUCACAAUUUUAUAAAGAUGGCAGGGUUGUUUAAGGGAAAACAGAACAUCCUGGGAUCAGUUGAAUGACUUUGUUGAAUUAUUAAAAUCAAGAUGCGGGGUUAUGUCAAAGGUGCAGAAUAUUUAGUUGUUGAGGGUAAUUUGGAAGCUUGACUAUAUGGAUUGAUGGAAGGUAAUAGUCAUGGAUGAAGAAGAUAAUGCAACAUCGGGUUCUGGUUUAGCAAGCAACAAAAAGACCAGGGGUCCUACGUUCUGCAAAAAACUGAAAAAAAGACUUGGAAAGUGUACCAUUAAUUUUGAUGAAUAUGGUCAGCCAUGUGGGGACAUGCUUAGAGAUUUCACCAUUUAUUUAGGAUCGGUUGUCCGGUUUCAAGUUGAUAUAAAUUUGGAAAGUUGGGAUGCAGUAACUCAAGGAUUAAAAGAUGUAAUUUGGAAUGACAUUAAGGUCGUAUUGCUGAUUGUCAUGAGCUCUUCUGGGAUUUUCUUUCCAUAGUACAGAAUACUUAUUGCUGGAUGCUUAUGUUUUCCACGCUUGAUUAGUUGACAUUCAGUGUUUUACAAAGGAGCUCGUUUUGGAAAUGCUGAGGGUUGUUUUGUGCAGUGGCCUAAGGAGCUCGUGAUCUUAGGACAGGUACCCGUAUCGUUGGAGAAGAAAAAAGGUCAUGAAAAAAGGCCAGAAAAUGUUGUCACAAAGCCUGAGUUUUUUACAGUUGAAUGUCUAUGAUCAGCUAGUUGACAAACUAUAAUGGCCACUACAAGCUUUUUAGUGCUAAGGACGAGAGCGAAGACUUCGAGGCAACUGGCUUAUUACUACACUGAUUUCAUAAUUUUUUGUGUUGACAUGUAAUUUCACAAGAAGAAUUAUGGGUUGUAAUACAUUUUAAUCUUAAUGUACAUUGAUUAAUUCCCACAUUUAAGUUUUUGUAAUUUAAGUUUAAUUAGUGCUAUUGACUUUGGGUA